rnacentral:rRNA from 1 species
GACGAACGCUGGCGGCGUGCUUAACACAUGCAAGUCGAACGGAAAGGCCCUGCUUUUGUGGGGUGCUCGAGUGGCGAACGGGUGAGUAACACGUGAGUAACCUGCCCUUGACUUUGGGAUAACUUCAGGAAACUGGGGCUAAUACCGGAUAGGAGCUCCUGCUGCAUGGUGGGGGUUGGAAAGUUUCGGCGGUUGGGGAUGGACUCGCGGCUUAUCAGCUUGUUGGUGGGGUAGUGGCUUACCAAGGCUUUGACGGGUAGCCGGCCUGAGAGGGUGAACGGCCACAUUGGGACUGAGAUACGGCCCAGACUCGUACGGGAGGCAGCAGUGGGGAAUAUUGCACAAUGGGCGGAAGCCUGAUGCAGCAACGCCGCGUGCGGGAUGACGGCCUUCGGGUUGUAAACCGCUUUCGCCUGUGACGAAGCGUGAGUGACGGUAAUGGGUAAAGAAGCACCGGCUAACUACGUG